rnacentral:ncRNA from 2 species
GCUGACAGCGCGGGAGAGACCCGCCGAUUCGCACAUGCGGAACGGCAGGCGCCGAAGGAGCAACCGCCCCGGAAUCUCUCAGGCAAAAGGGACCGCGCAGCGUCG